UUCGAUCAUGAAAUAGUUGAACGUUGGCGGGAUGCUUUUACACAUGCAAGUCAGACGGCAGCACGGGCGAGUGCAGUUUGGCGAGUGGCGAACGGGCGAAGUAAUGUAUCCUGAACGUGUCUAGUAGCGAGGGGAUAACUACGCCAGCGUAAUACCGCAUACGCCCUUCGGGGAAAGCGGGGGGACCUUCCCGGGGCCUCCGCACUAUUAGAAGCGGCCGAUAUCGGAUUAGCUAGUUGGUGGGGUAACGACUCACCAAGGCGACGAUCAGCCAGCUGGUUUGAGAGGACGACCAGCCACACUGGGACUGAGACACGGCCCAGACUCCCUACGGGAGGCAGCAGUGGGGAAUUUUGGACAAUGGGGGAAACCUGAUCCAGCCAUCCCGCAUUGUGCGAUGAAGGCCUUCGGGUUGUAAAGCACUUGGCAGGAAAGAAACGGCACGGGAUAAUACCCCGAUACAGCUGACAGUACCUGCAGAAUAAGCACCGGCUAACUACGUGCCAGCAUGCAGACAGCCACGCUCGGUACCAGCGUUAAUCAAGAUUACCGGGCGUAAAGCGUGCGCAGGCGGUUCGGAAGAAGAUGUGAAAUCCCAGAGCUUAACUUUGGAACUGCAUUUUUAACUACCGAGCUAGAGUGUGUCAGAGUGGAAUUCCCGCGUCUUAGCAGUGAAAUAAAAUGAUAUACCGGGAGGAGGAACACCGAUGCUUGAAAACCAGCCUCCUGGAUAACACUGACGCUCAUGCACGAAAAGCGUGAGGGAGCAAACCAGGAUUAGAUACCCUGGUAGUCCACGCCCUAAACGAUGUCAACUGGCUGUUGGGGCCUUCAGACGCCCGGUAGCGCAGCUAACGCGCGUGAGGCCCAUUACGCCACAGAGUGCGGUCACCAAGAUUAAAAACUCAAGGAGUUGACGAGGACCCGCACAAGCGGUGGAUGAUGUGGAUUAAUUCGAUGCAACGCGAGCCACCUACCCUUGGCAUAUCUGGAAUCCCGAAAGAGAUUUGAUGCUCGCAGAACGGAACACAGGUGCUGUGGCUGUCGUCAGCUCGUGUCGUGAGAUGUUGGUUCAGGUCCCGCAACGAGCGCAACCCUUGUCGAAGCGAAUUUGCUGAAAGACGCUCUAAUGAGACUGCCGGUGACAAAACCCGAGGAAGGUGGGGAUGACGUCCAGUCCUCAUAGCCCUUAUGGGUAGGGCUUUACACGUCAUACAAUGGUCGGGACAGAGGGUCGCCAGCCCGCGAGGGGAGCCAAUCCCAGAAACCCGAUCGUAGUCCGGAUCGCAAUCUGCAACUCGACUGCGCAUUGAAGUCCCGGAAUCGCUAGUAAUCGCGGAUCAGCAUGUCGCGGUGAAUACGUUCCGGAUGUACACACGCCCGUCACACCAUGAAUUAGGUUUUGCCAGAAGUAGUUAGCCUAACCGUAAGGAGGGCGAUUACCACGGUAGGAUUCAUGACACAAGGGGUGAAGUCGUAACAAAGGUAA
rnacentral:rRNA from 1 species